rnacentral:rRNA from 1 species
UUCAGUUGCCAUCGGGUAAAUGCCGGGCACUCGUGGAAGGACUGCCAUCGACAAGAUGGAGGAAGGUGGGGAGUGACGUCAAGUCAUCAUGGCCCUUACUGUCCAGGGCGACACACGUGCUACAAUGGCCGGACGACAACGGGAAGCGAGUUCGCGAGGACGAGCGGAUCCCUCAAAGCCGGUCGCAGUUCGGAUUGAAGUCUGCAACUCGACUUCAUGAAGCUGGAAUCGCUAGUAAUCGUGGAUCAGCCAAGCCGCGGUGAAUACGUUCCCGGGCCUU